rnacentral:misc_RNA from 1 species
AGAUUUUUUCUGCUAAAUAGAUGAUUUUAUAAACAAGGUUGAUAGUGAACAGACAUCGAUUAAAAAUGCGUUGGCGGAUACUGUUGCUUCCUUGAAAUCAGAGAUUGCUUCUUGCCUUAAGGAAAUGAAGAGUGAAAUUGUGGAUUGCAAUAAGCUAAUAAACAAUGUCGAGAUAUCAACUUCCAACAAAAUUACAGCGUUAGAGGAGGAAAAUAAUUGUCUGCAUAGAAGACUUAACCGUACUAACAUUAUAGUUACUGGUUUGCCUGCCGGUAUAGAUGAUCUGAUGCCUGUUAUUAUGAAAUUAGGAACAAUAUUUGAUGUUCCAAUUUGCACAUAUGACUUACAAUAUAUUUGCUAUAUGAAUAACAGGAAGUCUAUUUUGGUGAAAUUCAAUAGUAUCUUUGUUCGGGAUAAAAUAAUGAGUCAAUAUUUUAAAACUCGGUCUUUGAAGGUUCGUGAUUUUGUGGAUGGAGAUGUUGAUUUAAGAGUCUAUUUGAAUGACCACUACUCUCCUGCUGCUAGCAGACUUAAUAUGAUUUGCAAAAAGCUGCUUCGUAAAGACCUAAUUAAAAAGUUCCGAAUAAUGAAUAGUGACAGAUUGAGAGUUAAAUUAACAUUACCGGAUGAUUCUGAGGUGGUCUAUAGUCCUUCUCAAUGUGCUGAUUUGCUGGAUGAUGGCCAUAUCUUGUUUUUUUAUAAUGAUGCCUUAUAACCUAACAGCUGGUCCUCAACUCAGUGUAAAUUCUUACUUUAAAACUGCUUUGCAACAUCAUUUAGGAAUUGGCUGCUGAGGGGACCAUUUUUUUAUCUCAAUGUUUUUAAAAUUGAUAUGGCUGGGGAGCCAAGUGAAGAAUAAAUUGAUAUGAGAAUCUGAAUAUUCUAUAGAAGGGACUUAAUAUAAGUAUUUCUAUUUUGAAUCUAAUUUGUAUAUUUUAUUUAUAUAUUAUAGUAUUUAUAUAUAUAUAUGUAUAUAUUUUUUUUUUAUAUAUAUGAUCUCAGGCGUUAUGUGCUGUGUAAUAUUAAUAUUUUGGCCUUUGUAGGCUUUAUAUUACAAAUAAAUGAAAUAAAAUAAAUAAAUA